CUCCCCCGCCCCCAUCCCAUCCUCUGACCCUGCCCGGCCCUGGAACCCCAGCGUUGGCACCGUGAACGCGCAUUUACCGUCUGCGGGACGCCGCCCCCGACAGGAUGUCGGCCGCCGACUGUCCGGGCCAGAACUCCUCACCCGAGGCCGAAGCCGGCGGCCAGGACACUGCCCCCAGCAACAAGGCGACAACCCCGAAUGCCGCCAUGGCCGCGGGCGGCCACGCACUUCCGGCGGACGCGCUCCGCCCCGGAAACACGCUCCGCCCGCGGAACGGGUGCCCAGUAGCCACGGCAACGCCAGAGCCCACCUCCCCGCGCAUGCGUAGGCGCCGUCCCCGGCGGGCUGAGGCGGGAUCCGGAACUGCGCGGAAAAUUCCAGGCCCAGAGGACCAAGCUGGUGGUUGGUACUUAGAAAAGCAAUGAUAGGCAUGCGGAUGAGGAGGGGCCGCUUAGCCCUGCCUGGUGUGUGAGGCCAGCGUUGCCCUGAAGGCAAAGUCAGCCAUCACCAGACAAUAGAACCAGAGACCAGUGUCUUUCGUGCAUCUAGACACAGAGCAUUUCAGAAAACUAGCAAAAGGAAUCUGUCCACCUGUUGCCUAAAAAAGCCAAACUUUGGAAAAUACUUGAAGAGAUUCAUUCUGAGCCAAAUGGGAGGACCAGGACCCGUGACACAGCCUCAGGAGGUCCUGAGAACUUGCACCCAAGGUGGCUGGGUUGCUCGGUUUUGUACAUUUCGGGAGACAUAGGCAUCGGUCAGCGCAUGUGAGGUGUGCAUUGGUUUGGCCCAGAAACAGGACAGCUCCAAGCGGAAAGGCGUCCAGGUCACAGGGAGAUUCAAAGGUUUUUCUGAUUGGCAAUUGGUUGAAAGAAUUAUGGUCUAAAGGCCUGGAAUCCAUAGAGAAGAGUGUCUGGGUUAAGAUAAGGGGCUGUGGAGACCAGGGUUCUUAAUGUGUAGAUGACGCUUCAUAGGUGUUCACCUUAGAGGCAACACAUGGCAAAUGUUUCCUAUUCAGCUGGCCAGCGUGGUGAAACCCAGUCGUCUCUACUAGCAAUACAAAAACAAAACAAAACGACACUGGACUCUCAGCCAGUCUCUUCAGAAUCAGAAAAAGAGCUGGAAAAAGAAGGGGAGUGUCUACAAGAUGUGAAUUUCUCCACAGGAGACAGCUUUGCGGGGCUAUUUGGAAAUUUGUCAAAGAGAUCUAUUUUGGGUAAAAUACACUGCUCCUUUCAGGGCCUGCUGUCACAUGAUGCUGUACCAGAGUCAGAUUGGAACUUGGCGUCUUAUUACUACAGAGUCUGCUCUGUCAGUCUUAUGACCUGUUUUAAUGCCAGUGCUGGUCAGCUGCACCUGAACUCCAAAGGGAGGGUUCUUUUAGAGCUGCAGGAAGAGGAUAUACAUGCAGGUCAGAGUGGAGUCCCAGCACCCAGAAAUGCCAGGUGCUGGACAAAGCCUCGGGGGGAAAAAGACCUCAGCCAGACGCAAAAGCAUGAGCUUAAAAAAAAAAUAAGAGAUGUUGAACUUCAUCAAAAAGUAAGCCUUUCUGGUCUUAGAAAGACACUUAAAGGGCA
rnacentral:lncRNA from 13 species